CAGUGGGCCUGAAUAGGGAGCAGAGUGGGGGAAGCUGUGGGCUAAGUCGUCCUUCAAGAAUGCACAAGGGAGCUCUGUGGGAGAGGGCCAGCCCACAGGAACCCACUCCACCCCAGUGGCCAUCACAAUGGAAUUCAGGUCUGCGUCACAAUGCCACUGGCAGUGGGAGGCUGGUCUCUUUGUUUGGAGACCUAGUUACAGGAACUCUGCGUCAGAGGUCCCUGUUUCCUGGGGUAUGGGAAGGGGCCCAGCUGCUGAGCGGCCUCAAAAUGGAGAACUGUAGGAAGAGCAGGUGUGAGGUUGGGCAGUCCCACUCAGCCCCCGGACCUAGCGGCUGCAGGGCCCAGGUGACAGUCGGCAGGGAGCAGGGAUUCUCCGUCAACAGUGAGCAGCUGCUGGUCUUCUUCCUGGCUAUCUGGUUCUUCUAUUUCUUCUACCUCCAGGACUAAUUCUGACAGAGCCUCCUCUCCAGCAGCUCAGGGAGUGGCUGAGGGUCAGAGCCUUGGUCCUGUCAGGCCUCACUCACUCAUUAACCUAGGGAAUGAAGACCCAGAGCCUGGAGCUGC
rnacentral:lncRNA from 1 species